CGCCGCGUGAGUGAUGAAGGCUUUCGGGUCGUAAAACUCUGUUGUUAGGGAAGAACAAGUACGAGAGUAACUGCUCGUACCUUGACGGUACCUAACCAGAAAGCCACGGCUAACUACGUGCCAGCAGCCGCGGUAAUACGUAGGUGGCAAGCGUUAUCCGGAAUUAUUGGGCGUAAAGCGCGCGCAGGCGGUUUCUUAAGUCUGAUGUGAAAGCCCACGGCUCAACCGUGGAGGGUCAUUGGAAACUGGGGAACUUGAGUGCAGAAGAGAAAAGCGGAAUUCCACGUGUAGCGGUGAAAUGCGUAGAGAUGUGGAGGAACACCAGUGGCGAAGGCGGCUUUUUGGUCUGUAACUGACGCUGAGGCGCGAAAGCGUGGGGAGCAAACAGGAUUAGAUACCCUGGUAGUCCACGCCGUAAACGAUGAGUGCUAAGUGUUAGAGGGUUUCCGCCCUUUAGUGCUGCAGCUAACGCAUUAAGCACUCCGCCCUGGGGAG
rnacentral:rRNA from 2 species